rnacentral:rRNA from 1 species
CCUACGGGUGGCAGCAGUGGGGAAUAUUGGACAAUGGGGGGAGCCCUGAUCCAGCCAUGCCGCGUGUGUGAAGAAGGCCCUCGGGUUGUAAAGCACUUUCAGUGAGGAAGAACGCCUGGUGGUUAAUACCCAUCAGGAAAGACAUCACUCACAGAAGAAGCACCGGCUAACUCCGUGCCAGCAGCCGCGGUAAUACGGAGGGUGCGAGCGUUAAUCGGAAUUACUGGGCGUAAAGCGCGCGUAGGUGGCUUGAUAAGCCGGUUGUGAAAGCCCCGGGCUCAACCUGGGAACGGCAUCCGGAACUGUCAAGCUAGAGUGCAGGAGAGGAAGGUAGAAUUCCCGGUGUAGCGGUGAAAUGCGUAGAGAUCGGGAGGAAUACCAGUGGCGAAGGCGGCCUUCUGGACUGACACUGACACUGAGGUGCGAAAGCGUGGGUAGCAAACAGGAUUAGAUACCCUAGUAGUC